CCUACGGGUGGCAGCAGUGGGGAAUAUUGCACAAUGGGCGAAAGCCUGAUGCAGCCAUGCCGCGUGUGUGAAGAAGGCUCUAGGGUUGUAAAGCACUUUCAGUAGGGAGGAAAUGUUAACGAUUAAUACUCGUUAGCUUUGACGUUACCUACAGAAGAAGCACCGGCAAACUCCGUGCCAGCAGCCGCGGUAAUACGGAGGGUGCGAGCGUUAAUCGGAAUUACUGGGCGUAAAGCGCGCGUAGGUGGUUUGAUAAGCUAGCUGUGAAAGCCCCGGGCUCAACCUGGGAACUGCAGUUAGAACUGUCUGACUAGAGUACAGUAGAGGGUGGCGGAAUUUCCUGUGUAGCGGUGAAAUGCGUAGAUAUAGGAAGGAACAUCAGUGGCGAAGGCGGCCACCUGGACUGAUACUGACACUGAGGUGCGAAAGCGUGGGGAGCA
rnacentral:rRNA from 1 species